GUCUACAGCCAUGCCACCCUGAACAAGCCCAAUGUCUGAUUUCAAAAGCUAAGCAGGGUCAGGCAUGGUUAGUACUUGGAUGGGAGACUACCUAGGAAGACCAGGUGCUGUAGGCA
rnacentral:rRNA from 1 species